UGCAAGCUACUAUAAACUACGCUCGAUUUGCUAAAUGAGCCACUUUCUCAUAAAUAGUUUUGAUAGAUUUACAGCAGCUAGCAUUUUCAUAGCAUCUUGGGGUAGACCAUGAAAAGCUUUUCAUCCACCAUUCACAGAUCACUCUGUUUUUGUUCCAAAGAUAGCUUCCCUUGUCACAAGCUUGAUUCCCCUUACCCACAACUCAGCCGUUUCAACUCCACCUUCACACACAAAAUGCACUUCCUUGUUCUUUGUAGUGAUUACAUGAAACAUUCCAGGGUCUUCAACAUCAAGUUUUCUCCGGCGAUUCCACCGGAACUUUGGGCUGGGGCCAAACUCAGCACCUCUGCAAACCACAUUUCUCUUGCUUGACUUUCCCCACCGCAACACCCCAACAGCACCUACCAUCCUUAAUACUUUAUAGUGUGGAGCUCCUUUGCCGCAUUUGGUGUGCUUCUUGACUUGAGUCCCACCCAGAACAAGUUGUCUAGCAAGUUCGUCCAAUAUUACAUUUUCUGGUUCAGUUCCAUAGCCAUUCUUCCUGGCAAGCGAGAGUGCAGUUUCCUCUUUCGGAUUCUUAAGAUAACAGCUUGCCCCACAUGAAAUUAAAUGCUCACACACUCUGCUGUGGCCUCCUCUUGCAGCUAACAUUAGCGGGGUGUAUCCUUCACUAUCAUAGGCAUUCACAUCAUAACCUCUUCUAGUUAACAUAUGAAUCAAAUCUAUGUCGCCCCGGUGCGCUGCACGAUGCAGAGCAUGAACGCCGGCGGAAUAGUUAUGUCCCUCUUCAAGUGCAUAAUCAAGCGUCACCUUUUCGAUGGCUUCUCCGUGGUGGCUUAACUCCGACAAGGUGAUUGACGUUUCGCCAUAUUUGUUCUGCAGCUUUACAUUGGCCCCUGCAUAAACCAGUAACCUGAAAGCUUCCACCUGACCUCCGGCUGCAGCUAUCAUAGCAGCAGAGAAUCCAUCUUCAUCCUGUUCAUCAAGAUUGAUAUCUGUCUUUUCAAUGAGCAGUUUCAAGGUUUCAAUAUCAUUUGCUUGAACCACGAACAUCA
rnacentral:misc_RNA from 1 species